GGUAUCCUGGCCGAGCGGUCUAAGGCGCCAGACUCAAGUAGUCGUACUUACCCACUUCAAGUGGGUUGUAUUCUGGUCUCGCAAGAGGCGUGAGUUCGAAUCUCACGGAUAUCA
rnacentral:tRNA from 1 species